CCCUUAGAUGUUCUGGGCCGCACGCGCGCUACACUGAUGCAUUCAACGAGUUUUUCCUGGUCCGAGAGGAAUGGGUAACCUUUUGAAAGUGCAUCGUGCUAGGGAUAGACUAUUGCAAUUAUUGGUCUUCAACGAGGAAUUCCUAGUAGACGUAGUUCAUCAAAUCGCGUUGAUUACGUCCCUGCCCUUUGUACACACCGCCCGUCGCUCCUACCGAUUGAAUGUGUUGGUGAGGAGUUCGGAUUGGCAAUGGGCGGUGGUUUUCCACUGCCUAUGGCUGAGAAGUUCUCCAAACCGCCCCAUUUAGAGGAAGGAGAAGUCGUAACA
rnacentral:rRNA from 1 species